AACGAACGCUGGCGGCAUGCCUAACACAUGCAGGUCGAACGAGACCUCCGGGCCUAGUGGCGCACGGGUGCGUAACGCGUGGGAACUUGCCCUUAGGUUCGGAAUAACUCCCCGAAAGGGGUCUUAAUACCGGUUAAUGUCUUAGGGCCUAGGAUUUAUCGCCUUGGGUUGGGCCUGCGUUGGUUUCGGUAGUUGGUAGGGUAAAAGCCUGCCAGGACGGGGAUCCAUAGUUGGUCUGAGAGGAGGAUCAGCCACACUGGGAUUAGGACACGGCCCAGACGGCAGGGGGAGGCGGGGGUGGGGAAAAUAGGGGAGGGGCGAAAGCCUGGUCCAGCAAUGCCGCGUGAGUGAUGAAGGCCGUAGGGUUGUAAAGCUCUUUUAGCCGGGGUGAUAAUGACGGUACCGGGAGAAUAAGCUCCGGCUAACUCCGUG
rnacentral:rRNA from 1 species